rnacentral:rRNA from 1 species
UACGUAGGGGCCUAGCGUUGUCCGGAAUCAUUGGGCGUAAAGCGCGUGUAGGCGGUCCGGUAAGUCCGCUGUGAAAGUCGGGGGCUCAACCCUCGGAUGCCGGUGGAUACUGUCGGGCUUGAGUACGGAAGAGGCGAGUGGAAUUCCUGGUGUAGCGGUGAAAUGCGCAGAUAUCAGGAAGAACACCCGUGGCUAAGGCGGCUCUCUAGUACGGUACUGACGCUGAGACGCGAAAGCGUGGGGAGCGAACAGG